UGGAACUCUGGCGUAGAUGGUUCGCGCGGAUGCCUGAAGAGCAUUAGGAGAUGGUUCGAUUCCAUCGGGUUCAACCA
rnacentral:tRNA from 1 species